UUUAUGGAGAGUUUGAUCCUGGCUCAGGAUGAACGCUGGCGGCGUGCCUAAUACAUGCAAGUCGAGCGAACGGACGA
rnacentral:rRNA from 1 species